rnacentral:lncRNA from 1 species
CAUUCAUCUAUGGAAUUCUGGUCUCCAUGGUUACUGGUGUAACUGACAUCAGCCUAACUGUGCCCAUACAUUAAAAAUGGUGCAUCAGCACAGGGUAGACCUAACACUAGAAAAGCACCUAAGAAUCACUGACCCUGCACGGUCUCCAUGUCCUGGUGGUGUUUAGCAUCUUUAGAACCUUUUGUUCUUUGUGAUGGGUACAUGCUCUAUCACAAAGGUUGCCACACAGAGACAACCUUGUAAGAAGUGGAUUAAUUGCAGAUGGAAUUGUGUAACAGAGGUGAUCCAGACGAGGUGAUCCGCCCUUGAGCUACCUUCCAGGGUCAUGCAACUUGCUCCCUAAUGUGGGACUAUCUGCUCCUCGCCGGCCUGCUAUUGUGUGUCACUUAACAAGCGUCCAGGCUUGUCACCAUGCCUCACAUUGACAUCUGUCAGCACCCUCAGUCCCUUACAUCAUUCAUAACCAACAGACGUCCUUGUGGUUUCACACUGACCCAGCCCAAUUCUUAGUAAAACCGCUUCCAGUUGACACUGGUGCUGAAUGGAAGAAACACACCAGGUCCUUUAGCUGUUAGAAACUCUGGAAUCUCUCUGUGGAUCUCUUCUCCCUUUGAUGCUGAGCAGUUUGAUCCUUCUCCUGACCUCUGAACUCCAACCCUUGGAAGAACUUGUCCCCCUUUCUAAUCACCUUCUUCUGUACAUCUUCAACAUUUUCCUUCCAAACCAUACAUCCCUGUGAGGAGUGGGUGUGGCAGCAGUCUCAAGAUGGCACCCGGGACUGCAGCCAAGUCUUAUGACUUGCACCUGACUUCCUCAUACACCUGAAAAUAAGCCACGACCAUCGCGAGAACUGCGCAGGUGCACCAUGAUGCAAGAUCGGACCAUAUGACGAGUGAUGAUUCUGGUCAAUGAACUGUUGUUACGUGGACUGGGCUGAUGGGGUGUGGUUGAGAGGAUAUAUAAGGGAUUGCGAUUGGGGGUGGGUUGUUGUUUUUUCCUGGAGAGAUUGAUUUCUGGAGAGAGAUUCAUGCAUGAUGUUGAAAGGUUCCUG